GUACUAAUAAAGGGUGAAAUCAAUUUUUUAGUAUACAGUAGAAUAAAAGUUGUAAUUAUAGUUGAAGCUGUUAAGGUAAAGAGAUGAACCAGGAUUAGAUACCCUGUUACACUUUAUUUAAAUUGUUAUUACCUGGGUACUAAACAGUUAUUAUCUUGAAACUCAAAGGAUUUGGCGGUAACUUAGUCUAUUUAGAGGAACCUGUCCUGUAAUCGAUAGUCCACGAAGAAUCUUACUUUAUUUUGUAGUAAUACAGUUUGUAUACCGUCAUUAUUAGGUAACUUUUAUAAAAGAUAAAGUUACUAAAAUAGUUUUGCUAAUAUAUUAGAUCAAGGUGCAGCUUAUAAUAAAGGAAGAGAUGGGUUACAAUAUAACAGAAAUAGACGGAACAAUAAAUGAAUAUUUGUUGCUAAGGUGGAUUUAAAAGUAAAGAGAUUUUAAUAAGGUCUCUUGAUUUUAGCUCUAGGUUAUGUACACAUCGCCCGUCGCUCUCGUUAACUAAAGC
rnacentral:rRNA from 1 species